rnacentral:rRNA from 1 species
ACGAACGCUGGCGGCACGCUUAACACAUGCAAGUCGAACGAGAGAAGAGAAGCUUGCUUUUCUGAUCUAGUGGCGGACGGGUGAGUAACACGUGAGCAAUCUGCCUUUCAGAGGGGGAUACCGAUUGGAAACGAUCGUUAAUACCGCAUAAUAUAAUUGAACCGCAUGAUUUGAUUAUCAAAGAUUUAUCGCUGAAAGAUGAGCUCGCGUCUGAUUAGCUAGUUGGUAAGGUAACGGCUUACCAAGGCGACGAUCAGUAGCCGGACUGAGAGGUUGAUCGGCCACAUUGGGACUGAGACACGGCCCAGACUCCUACGGGAGGCAGCAGUGGGGAAUAUUGCACAAUGGAGGAAACUCUGAUGCAGCGAUGCCGCGUGAGGGAAGAAGGUUUUAGGAUUGUAAACCUCUGUCUUCAGGGACGAAAAAUGACGGUACCUGAGGAGGAAGCUCCGGCUAACUACGUGCCAGCAGCCGCGGUAAUACGUAGGGAGCGAGCGUUGUCCGGAAUUACUGGGUGUAAAGGGAGCGUAGGCGGGAUCGCAAGUCAGAUGUGACAACUAUGGGGUUAACUCAUAAACUGCAUUUGAAACUGUGGUUCUUGAGUGAAGUAGAGGUAAGCGGAAUUCCUAGUGUAGCGGUGAAAUGCGUAGAUAUUAGGAGGAACAUCAGUGGCGAAGGCGGCUUACUGGGCUUUAACUGACGCUGAGGCUCGAAAGCGUGGGGAGCAAACAGGAUUAGAUACCCUGGUAGUCCACGCCGUAAACGAUGAUUACUAGGUGUGGGGGGACUGACCCCUUCCGUGCCGCAGCAAACGCAAUAAGUAAUCCACCUGGGGAGUACGACCGCAAGGUUGAAACUCAAAGGAAUUGACGGGGGCCCGCACAAGCAGUGGAGUAUGUGGAUUAAUUCGAAGCAACGCGAAGAACCUUACCAGGUCUUGACAUCGUAUGCAUAGCUCAGAGAUGAGUGAAAUCUCUUCGGAGACAUAUAGACAGGUGGUGCAUGGUUGUCGUCAGCUCGUGUCGUGAGAUGUUGGGUUAAGUCCCGCAACGAGCGCAACCCUUACUGUUAGUUGCUACGCAAGAGCACUCUAGCAGGACUGCCGUUGACAAAACGGAGGAAGGUGGGGAUGACGUCAAAUCAUCAUGCCCCUUAUGACCUGGGCCUCACACGUACUACAAUGGCUGUCAACAGAGGGAAGCAAAGCCGCGAGGUGGAGCAAACCCCUAAAAGCAGUCUUAGUUCGGAUUGUAGGCUGCAACCCGCCUACAUGAAGUCGGAAUUGCUAGUAAUCGCAGAUCAGCAUGCUGCGGUGAAUACGUUCCCGGGCCUUGUACACACCGCCCGUCACGCCAUGGGAGUCGGUAACACCCGAAGCCUGUAGUCUAACCGCAAGGAGGACGCAGUCGAAGGUGGGAUUGAUGACUGGGGUG